rnacentral:rRNA from 1 species
UACGAAGGGGGCUAGCGUUGCUCGGAAUCACUGGGCGUAAAGGGUGCGUAGGCGGGUUUUUAAGUCAGAGGUGAAAUCCUGGAGCUCAACUCCAGAACUGCCUUUGAUACUGAAAGUCUUGAGUAUGGGAGAGGUGAGUGGAACUGCGAGUGUAGAGGUGAAAUUCGUAGAUAUUCGGAAGAACACCAGUGGCGAAGGCGGCUCACUGGCUCAUACUGGACGCUGAGGUGCGAAAGCGUGGGGAGCAAACAGG